GAUGAACGCUGGCGGCGUGCCUAAUACAUGCAAGUCGAGCGAACGGACGAGAAGCUUGCUUCUCUGAUGUUAGCGGCGGACGGGUGAGUAACACGUGGAUAACCUACCUAUAAGACUGGGAUAACUUCGGGAAACCGGAGCUAAUACCGGAUAAUAUUUUGAACCGCAUGGUUCAAAAGUGAAAGACGGUCUUGCUGUCACUUAUAGAUGGAUCCGCGCUGCAUUAGCUAGUUGGUAAGGUAACGGCUUACCAAGGCAACGAUACAUAGCCGACCUGAGAGGGUGAUCGGCCACACUGGAACUGAGACACGGUCCAGACUCCUACGGGAGGCAGCAGUAGGGAAUCUUCCGCAAUGGGCGAAAGCCUGACGGAGCAACGCCGCGUGAGUGAUGAAGGUCUUCGGAUCGUAAAACUCUGUUAUUAGGGAAGAACAUAUGUGUAAGUAACUGUGCACAUCUUGACGGUACCUAAUCAGAAAGCCACGGCUAACUACGUGCCAGCAGCCGCGGUAAUACGUAGGUGGCAAGCGUUAUCCGGAAUUAUUGGGCGUAAAGCGCGCGUAGGCGGUUUUUUAAGUCUGAUGUGAAAGCCCACGGCUCAACCGUGGAGGGUCAUUGGAAACUGGAAAACUUGAGUGCAGAAGAGGAAAGUGGAAUUCCAUGUGUAGCGGUGAAAUGCGCAGAGAUAUGGAGGAACACCAGUGGCGAAGGCGACUUUCUGGUCUGUAACUGACGCUGAUGUGCGAAAGCGUGGGGAUCAAACAGGAUUAGAUACCCUGGUAGUCCACGCCGUAAACGAUGAGUGCUAAGUGUUAGGGGGUUUCCGCCCCUUAGUGCUGCAGCUAACGCAUUAAGCACUCCGCCUGGGGAGUACGACCGCAAGGUUGAAACUCAAAGGAAUUGACGGGGACCCGCACAAGCGGUGGAGCAUGUGGUUUAAUUCGAAGCAACGCGAAGAACCUUACCAAAUCUUGACAUCCUUUGACAACUCUAGAGAUAGAGCUUUCCCCUUCGGGGGACAAAGUGACAGGUGGUGCAUGGUUGUCGUCAGCUCGUGUCGUGAGAUGUUGGGUUAAGUCCCGCAACGAGCGCAACCCUUAAGCUUAGUUGCCAUCAUUAAGUUGGGCACUCUAAGUUGACUGCCGGUGACAAACCGGAGGAAGGUGGGGAUGACGUCAAAUCAUCAUGCCCCUUAUGAUUUGGGCUACACACGUGCUACAAUGGACAAUACAAAGGGCAGCGAAACCGUGAGGUCAAGCAAAUCCCAUAAAGUUGUUCUCAGUUCGGAUUGUAGUCUGCAACUCGACUACAUGAAGCUGGAAUCGCUAGUAAUCGUAGAUCAGCAUGCUACGGUGAAUACGUUCCCGGGUCU
rnacentral:rRNA from 1 species